UUGCCCAGCAAAAAGAGUUGGCUCUGUGUGAAACAUUUAGAGGGAGUGUUAAUGCCUUUCUUGUGCAGUUCAGUGCGCUGACAGCAAUACCAACACUGUUUCCUGAGAAGAUAUGAGAAGCCAUGAAUCUUAGAGUGGAUCUCACUUUCCCUCCCUAAAAGUACUCCACUGCAGCUCCCAAGUGGAAGACGAAUGCACCCAUUAAAGACAGUUGUGCUUCGGUGAAAUUCAGUGAGCCAUUUGUGCCUUGCAAGCACACAAAAAAGAGAUACAGAGUCAAGAGAUAGCCCUUAUCCAUGAAAUAUUAUCUUAAUGGCAAGAUACAACCUGUACAGCGAUAGAAGGGAAGAAGCUUAAUCCAGCAACCAGUUCUACAAGUUUUUCAAUACUCUGCCUUUACCGCAUAUGGAUGUGUAAAUAGGAGCCAGAAAAUCAUUCGUUAGAGUGUAUUUGGAGGUAUGUUUUGCUGAGGAGUUCUUCGUGGGUUUAGCACUUCUAAGAUCUUUACUUCAUUCUUAACAUCCCUAAAAGGAAUUUCAUACUUCAAGAAAUUUUGUGGGUAAGUUUGGGAAUGCACGAAGAUGAAAAAACAUUGUAACUGAAAGCAAAUGUUUUCUUUUGCUUUCAGGAAAUAUACCUCCUUCAUUCACUCGGUAAGGCUGUUCCUAUAUUACUCUCAGAGACAUGUAUUCUGGCACAAAUAAAUGGUGGAAAUCAUUAAAACACAAUGAUGCUAGACCAAAAAUUUUCUAAUUAGAUCAAUGAAUAUGAAUAUGAUGUGAUAUGUUCCAGUCUAUAUAUAAUUUUGUAUGAUGAAUAAAGGAUGCAAACUGUACGCCUAUGCUCAUAUCCUUGUAUGACUACACAAAUGUCUGCAUGAGUUGAUGUAUUUGCAUAUAUUUAGGUAUUAUUUUUACAUUCACAAAGAAUGUACAUGUGUGAGCACUCAUCUUUCUACAUAUGGCUGAGUAAUCCUGUUUUCUUUCAUUUUUCUAAACUUUAAUUUACCUUCUGCUUCCAUCACGUUCAUUUCUUAAAGGAAAAACCUUGCCUAUUUUACGAGACCGAUAGGAUUUUUUUUUUCCAGGGUACUUCAGGAAAAAUUAACAUCCGAGUCAUUCCAUGCAGUUUAAAAACCCCAAUAUCAAAAUAAACAUGGAAGAAACUGAAUGGGGAAGGAAAACAGUACUGCAACUUUUGUUCUCUGAUCAGCAUUUUUGCUGUUCAAGACUUCCUGAGUGGUAAAAUAGCUCAGCCACCCAUGCAGUCAAGUCAGAGGGCAGAAAAUUUUAUAUUACUCAGAUUUCCUCAAGGGGUUGACCACACUAUGACCUCUUUCCAUUCUGUAAAGCUCUGUGACUCAGAAACAUUAUGAUGCUUCUAUUUUAAAUAGUUUCUCCAGGCUUUCCUUUGUGAUGCUUUUCAACUCAAGGUAGGUAAAAGCAACUUGCCAUAUUCAGUAACCCAAGGUCAUCCUUAGACUUCAAGUAUUAACAUUUGAUUAGCUGUAAUAGUUCAUUUUGCUGUCCAAGUUGUGCUAUACUUAUGUAACUUGACUCACUUGAGUAGCCCCACUCAUUUCAAGCUCUGAUGUAAAUGAAUGAUUCUACUUAGAGUCAUCCCAUCUGUUUUUUUGUAGUACAAGCCUGAUAAGCCUUUUUUAAUUAAUCUGGGAAAAAAAUCCUUUAUGGCUUGUAAAAUGGCAACAUG